CGAAGGGGGCUAGCGUUGCUCGGAAUCACUGGGCGUAAAGCGCACGUAGGCGGCUUUCUAAGUCAGGGGUGAAAUCCUGGAGCUCAACUCCAGAACUGCCUUUGAUACUGGAGAGCUUGAGUCCGGAAGAGGUGAGUGGAACUCCGAGUGUAGAGGUGAAAUUCGUAGAUAUUCGGAAGAACACCAGUGGCGAAGGCGGCUCACUGGUCCGGUACUGACGCUGAGGUGCGAAAGCGUGGGGAGCAAAUAGGAUUAGAUACCCUGGUAGUCCACGCCGUAAACGAUGGAUGCUAGCCGUUGGGGGGUUUACCCUUCAGUGGCGCAGCUAACGCAUUAAGCAUCCCGCCUGGGGAGUACGGUCGCGAGAUUA
rnacentral:rRNA from 1 species